CCAUCCAGCCACCACCUCAGGGAAGGGAGUGUCGGGAGGCUGCUAAUUGGAUUGGAACACUCCAGAAACACAUCAGCUGCUCCUCCCUGGGGGAAAGGGCAGCCUCGCCCUGACCUGGUCCUCACCAGCCUCCACCCAGCGCCUUCCUAGGGCGCAAUAGGGUAGGCUCACGGUGGCGUGGAGCAGGCGGACGUUGAUCAGAUAAUUACCCAAAUGAAAUUCAGCCAUGAGUGGAUUCUGUUGUUUGCAACUAAGAACUCUGAUACAGAUGGAUAGAUGGAUGGAUGGACGGACAGAUGGGUUGAAAGUGAAAACAAGUUGCUUGUAUAUUAUAAAGUAUGGAAACCCAGACCUAGAAGAGCUCACAGCCCAGUGGGAGAUCAGAACAGGGAAGACAGAGGCCAACUCUGAGCACUGAGGGUUCUCAGUAUGAGCGCGGGGGGCCCUGGCCCUGGACUCAGAGCCACAGUCUCACCAGCAAGAAGCCUUCCUUCUCUUUCGCUCCCUCCCCCGAGCCCCACACCCACGCUGUGCCCACCACUCAGAAAGCAUGUGCGUGGCUCAUCCUGCCUUGUGACAUUGUUCCUGUCCUUACCCAACAAUCCUGUUUACCUUGAGCAAGGAUGACACACAUGUCUGUGACUCAUCCCGUAUUGUUCUGCCCCCUCCCAGCCCUGACUUCCAGCGGCACCAACUGUCCCCUUGGCCGGCCAGCGCCGCAGCCUUGCUCUGCAGCUCCGUUCACGUGGCACGUGCCAUCGCCUGCAGAGACCGCCCGCUCCCCGGGGGCUGGGAAGGCUACCUUCGUGCAUUUUGCAAACCCCGUUCC